rnacentral:lncRNA from 1 species
GGAACGUGAAGCUUCUCAAAGGUCAAAUGGUGAAAAAUGCCAUAGUCGAUUGCAGGUUGAGUCUCUCCCAUUUCUGAGAGGACUCAUCACACCUAAUUUGAGUAAUUUCCUUUUCAAUUUCCUGGGCCAUUUUAUUUUACCUCUGGCUGCCCCUUGGAUGAGUGCAGUUUCCUUUGCUGUGAUAAAACACCAUCCCAAAAGCAACUAGGAGAGAAGGGUGUGUGUCAUCUUACAGCUUGUAAACCAUCAUCCAGGAAAGGCAGGGAAGGAACUCAAGGCAGGUACCUAGAGAAAGCACUUGAAGCAAUUAGAAGAUUGAAUCAUUACCACUGCUGGGUUGAUAAUCAUUUCUCAGGCUGUCUUUUGGCAAAGAGCAAGCUACAUUUUACAUUGCUUGAGUCACAAUGGUCAGUCUUCUCAAACGGAAGACUUCAAGGAAAAAGAAACUUGGAGUAAGAUGAAAGAAGAAAGAGGAAAGACAAGAAAUCAAGAACUCCAAA